CACACAAAAGGACCCACACAGAGCACACAUAUACAAUACACCCCCUCUUCAUUAAUAGAAAAAGAGGAUACACGUAAUUCCCACUUACCUCAUCAUAUAUAAUACACAACACAUAGAUUCCCUUCACAAGCAGUCACCCUCAUACACAUCACACACACAUUCCUCCAUUUUCAUACUCAUAUUAUACACGCACUCACAUUUUCAUUCACACACCUUACCAAAAAACACACACACACUCUUCAUAGUGACACCAUUGAACAAACAUAUAAGAUUAUACAUUUUUUAUUUCAAUAAUUUUCCAUUUCUAUUGAUUCCCAUGUACACACAUAUACACUAAUACACAUACUUGAAAUCAGAAAAGGGAGGAGAAAACAAGUAGAAUAGUGAGCAAAUUCGAGAAGAGAGUGACAGGAUGUAGAGAGAGAGAGCCAAACCAGUGAGAAAAAAGUUGGGAAACUAGUGAGUAAAUGGAGAGAAACGUGAGAGACUCUAUUUUUCGUGAAUUCUCCUUAGGAAACGUAGUUUCUGAUCAUUUUCUCUCAGUUUCAUCUAUGCCGAGCUCAAUGAAGCUCCAACAAAAGUAGACCACCACGCCCUCGCCCAAACCCACCUCGCCGAAACAACCACAUGCGCACAGAUGGAAAACAUAGAGGAUGAGGAAAGGAAAAGACAAAAUUGGUCGUUCUUGUGUUUUGAUGUCGAGUUUGAAGAGGUUUUUCAGUUGAGUUCAUUCAUCUAGGUUCUCAAUUUUGGUUAACGGCUUGUCGUCAAUUUUAUUUUAUCAACAGUGGAUUUGGUUAAUUGCUUGAAUUCCAGAACUACAUUCCAUUCCAUUUGGGAUUAAAAUAAAAUUAAGGACCAUUUCUUACCUUAAUUCUCAAUUAAUCUUAAUUAUUUAAUACUUUGUGUGGUGAUUUGAUGUGUGAAUUUUAUUCUCAUUGAUUUUGAUAUAUUUGGAUCAUCGUAAGUGAUUGUUGAUAUUGAUCGAUUAAUUGUGUAAAUUGGAUAAUCAAAUAAUUUUGACUCAAUUUGGGGGAUAAAUCGUAAUUUGGGAUGGUAUAAAAAGUUUGCUAAUUCGUAAUUUUAUUUAGUUUAUUUAAUUUGUCAUCUUGAUUGAUUUUGACAAAUUCGAUAGUAUCUUGUUUUAGGCCAAGAAUUGAUAGGCAAGUUUUAGGUUUAGGGUAGGAAAAACAUAGGGAUUGUAACUGUUGAAUGUUUGAAUGUGUUGAAUGGCUUUUGCUUCAUAUUUUCUGAAUUUCUUGUAUUCAUUUGGCCGUGGAAUGCCCCGAGAAAAUUGUACUUAUUUAUCGGGGAAUGACCCAAAGUAUCAUGUAUGCAAAAGAGGUUCGUGAUCAAGAACUGAGGCAUCGAGUAGAGCAUAGUGUAGGAUUAGUAUAGGUUAGUGUAGAUUUAUUUCAGUAUAUUUUAUUUUGGACUGUAAUAAUUGGACUGGACACUAUUUUUCGAACUUGUUUUAUUUUGGUGUGAUUAUUUAUUUUGUAUGUUUAUUUGGUUUAUGCGUCUGAUAGUGUCUACUAGCCGAUAUACUCCAUGAAGUGAUUGUGGUAGAACCACAGGAUCGAGGUGUGCCUAACACCUUCCCAUCGGUUAAUAGAAUUCCUUAGCUAGAGUCUCUGUUUGCGGAUCAAUUUUAAAGAGUCAAAACUAUUUUGAAAAAAAAAAUUCAAAGGUGACUUGGAACACUCGAUUUAUGCCAAGUGGCGACUUUGAGUUUUGAAUGUUAAAAGUCCUUUUUGAAAUAAAUUGUUUUCUUUUGUCACUUAAUAAUAAAAAUCCAUUCAAACGUAAAUAUAAUCUUUUUUGGGUAAAAAAAGGGUGUGACACUAAAUACAUUAGUUAAUGAGCCUUGCUUAGUAAUAU
rnacentral:lncRNA from 1 species